GGCAAGUCGUCUCUGGCUAC
rnacentral:miRNA from 1 species